rfam:Triticum aestivum genome assembly, contig: Triticum_aestivum_CS42_TGACv1_scaffold_131893_2BL
UUUAUACUUCCUUUGUCCGAAAAUACUUAUCACUAAAAUGGACGUAUCUAGAUGUAUUUUAGUUGUAGAUACAUCUAUUUUGAUGACAAGUAUUUUCGGACGAAGAAAGUAUAAA